GCCAGACUCCUACGGGAGGCAGCAGUGGGGAAUAUUGGACAAUGGGCGAAAGCCUGAUCCAGCCAUGCCGCGUGUGUGAAGAAGGCCUUCGGAUUGUAAAGCACUUUAAGUUGGGAGGAAGGGCAGUAAGCUAAUACCUUGCUGUUUUGACGUUACCGACAGAAUAAGCACCGGCUAACUUCGUGCCAGCAGCCGCGGUAAUACGAAGGGUGCAAGCGUUAAUCGGAAUUACUGGGCGUAAAGCGCGCGUAGGUGGUUCGUUAAGUUGGAUGUGAAAGCCCCGGGCUCAACCUGGGAACUGCAUCCAAAACUGGUGAGCUAGAGUACGGUAGAGGGUGGUGGAAUUUCCUGUGUAGCGGUGAAAUGCGUAGAUAUAGGAAGGAACACCAGUGGCGAAGGCGGCCACCUGGACUGAUACUGACACUGAGGUGCGAAAGCGUGGGGAGCAAACAGGAUUAGAUACCCGAGUACU
rnacentral:rRNA from 1 species